GGACUACCCGGGUAUCUAAUCCUGUUUGCUACCCACGCUUUCGUGUCUCAGCGUCAGUCAUGGUCCAGAAAGCCGUCUACACCACAGGUGUUCCUCCUGAUAUCUACGCAUUUCACCGCUACACCAGGAAUUCCGCUUUCCUCUCCCAUACUCAAGCCCUCCAGUCUUCGGCGCACCCUCCCGGUUAAGCCGGGAGAUUUCACACCAAACUUAGAGGACCGCCUACACACUCUUUACGCCCAGUAACUCCGAACAACGCUUGCUGCCUACGUAUUACCGCGGCGGCUGGCAC
rnacentral:rRNA from 1 species